AGUUCUUUGGCUGAGGAUAAGCAUAUGUUUUGAAAACAUACAACAGAGCAAAGCUCUAAGAACUU
rnacentral:tRNA from 1 species